UGAGCGUUCAGAGCGACUACGUCCAUAUUCUAGUCGUUUUGAAGAUUUUGUGGACAACGAAUUAAAUGGAGACGUUAGUGAUCUAGAGAUCAGUGAUGAUGAAGAUGCUGAUCCAGAUUUUGAACCGGAAGAACCUAUCCAGCAAGCGCAGGAGGAGACAUCUGAAGACGACAGUGAUUCGGAAGGUGGUGUAACUCAGGUGGUGGCAAAUCCUGCAAUCGAACCUUCCACACGCAUGGUUCAACCAAGAGGUUCCAGACGAUCCAGUGUGACUUCAGUAAACCAGCUUGG